CUUCUUCCUCCCCUGCUUGUGGGACCAAAGUGUGAACUGCCCCUUUGUCUGCUGUGGAAGGAACACAGAUGGGAGGAGGCUGUUUGUGGCUCAAGACUUGAUGCUGCUGUGGUUGGGAGGAGGAAACAGGUUCCUCAGCUCACAGCUCCUGAACACCUGGUGGGCACCCACAAAACUGCAGAAUGGAUGGGCAGAAAAAGCAUGAGCAGCAACUGCAGGAGUGUGGCUGUUGGCAUGGUUGCUGUGGUUUAUCCUGCUCUGUGAUCCUGCAGAACUGAUCAGCAGUUUGCUCCUGAACUGAAGGAAGGAAUGUGAGUGCCUGUAGCAGGUGAGCUGACAUUACAUUUGCCUCCUGUGGCACUGAAACACCAGCAAUUUAUCAGUGGUUUCAUCAGCUGGGCAUGUGGCUUUUCUCUGCAGGUUCUGCUGCUGCCUCUGUGUGAGCAGUUAUUUAGGAAG
rnacentral:lncRNA from 1 species